CUAACGCGUACGGUAUGAG
rnacentral:misc_RNA from 1 species